GAUUACACACCGAUUCCGAAAUUUAUAAAGGUGCGCGGUAUUUCCCGCGGUUAUUUUUAGCAUCCUUGUCCAUGUGGUACCCGUUUCUGUAUUUACAACUGACAGUCUGUGUACUGAUAACGCAACUUUAGCAGUAAAAAAAAACCCACUCUGUUAUACUAUACUGCGUACACAUGACUUUAAUUUGCAGUGCAGGAUACAACAAGUCUGCAAGUCACUAGAUAUAAAUGGACAGAGGAAAUUAUUGAGGAAAUCAUUGGGGGAAAAACUUAACAAAGGAAAUGUACCUUACUAUAUUAAGGAGGAGAAGUGAAAGAAGCAGGGAAAAUUGGCGGAGUGUAACAUCUAUUAGCAAUAAAAAGAGGAGAUAAAGCAGUAAAUCAUUAUGACUGUGAAAAGAAGAUAUCUGAAUAUGAAAUGAGUUUAUUUCAGUUAAAAAGACUUGCUACAGAAUGUUCCUCUUGUAAUUUUAUUGAAGACCAGACCAUUGUCAACUUUAAGUAAAGGAAGAUAAUAAAACAUUGAAGAGGAAAUGAAGGAAAAGACUUUAUCAUCAAUGAGCAUAACAAAGCAUAAUUCAGAAUAUCUCUUGUGAAGGAAUAAUAUUGUUCAUGUACAGUAAACAACAUACAAUAACGUAUUACAAUUUCAUUUUUUGCAAUUGCUGAAUUUUUAUGCUGUACUUUCAAAACUUUGGUUGCAGUACAGGAGUCUGUUUUCUUUUAAAUAUUAAUAAAACUUCAGAAUUUUAAA